CCCUAAAUCUUGAUAUCCGCCCUACCCGGAUAUCCGCCCGAGAACUACGAGCACAAACGCUUAAAACUCUAAGGACUUGGCGGUGCCCCAAACCCACCUAGAGGAGCCUGUCCUAUAAUCGAUAACCCCCGAUUCACCCGACCGCUUCUUGCCACAGCAGCCUACAUACCGCCGUCGCCAGCUCACCUCCUCUGAGAGCACAGCAGUGAGCACAAUCGCCCUAACCACGCUAGCAAGACAGGUCAAGGUAUAGCCCAUGAAGCGGGAGUGAUGGGCUACAUUUUCUAAUAUAGAAAACUCACGAAAAGGGGUGUGAAACCACCCCUAGAAGGCGGAUUUAGCAGUAAAGCAGGACAAUAGAGCCCCC
rnacentral:rRNA from 1 species